rnacentral:lncRNA from 1 species
AGCUGCUUCUCCCAUGGCUAGCCACCUAAAGUCCAGCUUCACUUCACCAAUUUCAAGGGCAUUGGUCUCACCCAAGGUUCCCUUUGCCUCUCCACUUAGAGUCUUGCCUUCUAGGAGGCAAUCUUCCUUCACCAUCAGAGCCGUCCAAUCUGAAAAGGUAUGUUAAUGUUAACCUAUUUAUGAAUUUGAAUAUAUAUAUAUAUAUAUAUAUAUAUAUAUAUAUAUAUAUAUAUAUAUAUAUGUGUGUGUGUGUGUUUUCUUUUUGAAAAGUUAUUUGAACUUUAGAAUUUAAGAAUAGCACAGUAUACUAAUGGGAAAUUUUAACCCUCUUUGGUUUAAAGAACAAAUAUGGACCACAAGAUAAUGGGAAAUAGUCAAGUAUGGUCUCCUAUCCAUAAUGGAUAAUUCCCCUUGGAAUUUGCAAUGCUCAAGUUAUCCCCUUUGAUUUCAGCCGACUCUUUCCACUACGUCUAGCCACUUUUCAAAGUAACGAUAAUGCAAUAUUUUUUUUAUAUAUUUUGUUGGGAUUUUACUUAAUAAUUAGAAUAAAUUAACUUGCACAUGGUGCGCAUAUAAUUGAAUUUAUAUAUAAUCUAAAAAUUUCAAGGCAUGAAUUCUCUUAACCAUUGAAAACAAAAAAGAGAAGCUUUCGUUGGCCUUACCCAGAACCUUAGGAGUCCCUUUGAAUUCCAUGAAGUCGAUGUCAUAUUCAUGCCGAAUUCGAAGUGUAUCAUUUUUGAAACCUAGUUAACCAAUAAUAAAGCAAUAACCCUUAUAUAAAAGGGACAGUGGAAAAAUGAUUAAUUAUGCAAUCUUUGCAGUCAUUUGACCAACUGAGAGACAAGAUCAAUAAAGGGUAAUGAUAAAAAUGAUCAAGAGCAGUUAAUUCAAAACCACGAUGCUAGACAGAUGGGCAAUUUGGCGGCCUCCGAAUUCCAUUUCUUUGGGCAAAAUGUGCUGGAAAGUGAGAAGUCAAGCUUGGUGUACAAGCAUUAAGCAUGUGGGUGGCCAUUGAAUAUAAUUUGUUACCCACGUAAAGGUCCCAAGGCAACUUGAUCUUGUUUAUAUUUCACUUCACUAACCCCACACACCACUCACUCACUCUCUUUCUCAUUACAAAAAGUAUACCUUUAAUGGAGGAGGAUUUUGACCUCUAAAUUUUCUUCUUCUUCUUCUUUUUAUUAUUUCUUGAAAAAAAGAUGCUUGUCUCUAAGGGAAAGUAAGGUCAAUGCUCGAGCUUAUUGAUUAUGACUUAUACCAUGUCAUAUGAUCCAAUUGGCUGAAAAGGCAUGCACCAUGCUUAAGUGCUCAACAGGUAAAUUGACUCGCCCAUAAGAUUUUCCCGAGAUUUCGAAAAUGUGGAUGGGUAGAGAUGUGGCAUGAUAGUUUAGAGACGACGUUUUCUAGGUCACAAGCAAUAUUGUCCACUUGGAAGGCCUUGUCUUUUUUACUAUAUUUUAUUAAAUUUGUUUGCUUCUGGGAAGAAAGCUUAGGACUAAAUGUGGCUUGGUCUGGUUUUUUCAGC